CCUUUGUCUGCACCUAUUGGUUCUUUUGUAUUCACUUCAUUGACAGUAACAUCAUCGAUGUCCCCCAUCUACAAGAUAAAGUUUGAAAAUCAGAAAAUCAGAAAUCUAUUAAUAGUGUUGGGGGCCUUCGGCUUCCGACGGUCCUCAAAAACACGAUUUGACAAUGUUUUCCAAGUGAAAUAUGUGAACAGGUAUCUUCGGAUUCGGAUCAUGAGCAUACAGAGCAUGGUCAGAACGAAGCCUGAGCGAGACGAAAGAUGAUUAUGACGAAGGACAAGGUGAUCACGAAGCUGUACACAGGAAAGCUUCGGCAUGACAGUAGAAAAGGGGAACCGAUUUAAAGAUGAAAAGGCAAAUUAGACCUCGAAGAAUUACUAUAAAGUCAUUAGCAAAUAUAAAGGGCAUGAAUGUAAUUUUAUAUGGGCUGUGCCCCUUGCCUAUAAAUAGAUGAACAGUAUUCCCGUACUGUUCACACUGACUUGGCAUUCGCUUUUUGCAUCACGCUUGUACCCUUGCUUUCCUUCAAACCGAAGGUACAUCUAUAAUUUGUUAUUGUAAAUAUGGUAAUGCAAAUAUAAUAAAUUGAUAAUAAUGUUUAAAUGUUUAUGUUAUUUUUCGUAUUUCGUUUAUGAAUUCUUCCUUAUCAUUUAUUGUGCUUAUGAAGGUUUUUCCUUCACAACCUUCGUCCGGAAUUCAUUAUAUCCGAAGGGAAAUAAUGUCUCGAAGGACGAAGGACUUUAACAUUUAACACUUUUUAUAUUGCCUUGUUCUUAACUCUUAGCAUUUGAGAACAAGUCCCCAACAUUGGCGCCCACCUCCGGUGAACUCACUUCCACUUUUUGAGUUUCGAACACCUUCGGCAAGCAUAGACCUUCGUCAUGCCGCCAAAGAAAGCUUCAGCAACAGGGGCUGCAGCUCUGCAACCGUUGAACCCCAACAGGAGACCCUCUCCCUUCGGGAGGCCGAAGCCAAAAGAGGAAGGCCACCAGUCCAACGCCUUAGGAGGACGAAUUGGAUCAAGAGAUCAGAGAUAUGGAAAUGCUCCAUCAGUAGGUGCAAAGGAAGAAGGAAAAGAUGGCUAGGCUAGCUGACCUGCAAAGGCAGAUAGACGAAGCCUCUGAAGAAGUUCGCCAUCUUACUCAAGAUGAGCAGAACCGAAGGCCCCAGCACAGAGAGCUUCAUCAGAAGGGCUUCUUCAACAAAGAUGACUGGUAUGAGAAUUUCCAUCAUGGAAAUUUUGCUUUUGAUGAUGCUUCUCCUCUGUCAGCAGAACUGCAGGCUACACCUUGGCCUCCGUCCUACAAGCCACCUCAACUCCCCAUGUAUGACGGCCACUCAGAUCCGAAGCAGUUUCUGAUGAGCUACGAAGCAACAAUAUCUUCCUAUGGUGGCAAUACUGCAGUCACGGCGAAGUCUUUCGUCAUGGCUGUCAAGAAUGUUGCACAAACCUGGUACUCCUCCCUUCGGCCAGGAACAAUCACAUCAUGGCAGAAGCUGAAGGAUAUGCUGAUCACCAGUUUCCAAGGGUUUCAAACGAAGCCGGUCACUGCUCAAGCCUUAUUCCAGUGCACCCAAGAUCACGAAGAAUAUCUUCAGGCGUAUGUCUGAAGAUUCUUACGCCUGAGGGCACAAGCGCCAACAGUGCCCAAAAAAUUGUCAUUGAGGCCAUGAUUAAGGGGCUUCGGCCGGGACCUUCAGCCCAAUACUUUGCCAGGAAACCACCACAGACUCUGGAGAAAUUGCUUCAGAAGAUGGAUGAAUACAUCCGCGCUGACAAUGACUUUCGACAGAGAAGGGAGGAAGCUUAAAGAUUCUCCGAAAUAGCCAGGGGCUUCGGAGGGAGGUUUUAUCCUAGACAUGUCAGAUCUAUUCAUUCCACUCAGACUGAUGACAGGGGAAACCAGCAGCAGAGGCCGCAAUAUUCCUCCCAGGCUUCCCAGGCUUCGGGGCAGCAGCAGAGUUAUCCUCGGCCUCCAGCUCCAAGGGGUAGAGGUGCCAGGGGCUUUGGAAGAAGAUUUGGGGAUCAGCCAAGGAAAAUUUAUUGCCUAUUCUGUGGUGAGGACAAGGGUCACACCACCAGGAUGUGCCAUGUCACCAUCCAGAAACAAAAAGAAAUAGCAGAAGCUGCAGCCCAACAGACCCAGCCGAAGCAAGUCAUGCAUACUGCUUCGUACCACUCGCCUUAUAUCCCAGAGUAUGUGGGUAACCACCCUGCAGCUCUUGUUGCUUCGGCAAGUCAAUCUCAGGCAUCUUGGCAACAGCUUCCACCUCCACCACCAAUGCAACGAGGCCAGCAGCCAGAAGGGAGUCAGCAUACUCAACACCAACGAGACUUCAGAGAAGAGUCCGAAGCUCGCACAGUCAAUAGUACUGUGCCAGAAUCGAAGCACAUUUAUUGACAAAUAUCCUACCUCGGCAGCAGUUUUUGCAUUCAGUAUCAUUUUCUUUUUAAUAAGGAACAAUUAUUGAAAGUCUAAGUGUUUUUUGUCGUUUUUAAUUUCUUGUAAUAGCUUCGCCUUUGCUAUAGUACAAGUAUACCUUCUCCACAGAAUAACGGAGUCCAAAAUGUUGCCGAAGCAUAAGAACUUAUGGUUACGGGGUGAAUCUUCGAAAUAACAAAAAGUCGUUCCUAAGGGAGCGCAGCGUAAGUUUUCUGCUCAAAAGUCGUUCUGAAGGGAAUGCAGAGCUUACAGCGAAAAAUAAACGAUGAUUCCGCUGAAAGUAAAAGGCGAAGAAGCUCCUAAGGGAGGCUUACAGCGAAAAAUAAACGCUGAUUCCGCUGAAAGUAAAAGGCGAAGAAGCUCCUAAGGGAGGCUUACAACGAAAAAUAAACGCUGAUUCCGCUGAAGUAAAAAACGAAGAAGCUCCUAAGGGAGGCUUGCAGUAAAAAAACGUCGAUCUUCGGCAAAUAUCAUUUUGCAUAACAUCACAUCAUCACAUCAUUUGCAUAGCAUAACAUCAUACAUCAUAUUGCCUCAAUGACGCAAGAAGGGGGUUUCAGUGUUGAUAUUCGAAGAUUGUUUCGAAGAAAUAGUGCCAGGGCACAAAAAUAGUUAUUGAAGAACUAUACCUUCAUCAAACUCUGAAAUGAAAGAUCUAUUGGUUACUGAUUUUACGAGGAUUGGAUAUUUUUAUGAAAAUACGGAUAUUAUUUACGAAGCAUGAAAAGAAGGAAGGUGUUUUUUCGCCGAAGGCUCAAAAACGGUAUGUAUGUGAAGUUUCAUGCAUCGUAAAGAAUAGAACCAUAAAUAGCUUAUAUAUUACAUUCAAAGUUACAAAAUAUUACAUAUGUUCCUCAACAAACAUUACAUUCCAAAUGUUUUUACAAUAACAUCUAAUCUUCCCUUAGAACUACUUCUGCAGCUUCGUUUAGUAACUGAUCAACAACUUUAUCCAUGAUGGCUUCGGCCAUUUUUCUAAUUUCGUCGUCCCCCUUCACGUGGGGGUCCGUCGAUGGCUCGGUAGACUCUGAGGGAGGAGAAAGUGCGGCUGUAUUACAAAGCGUAAACAAAUUCGAAAUCAAAAAAUUACAAGAAAGAGCCAAAAACUACUAGUCAAUACCUAUUUGCCUUUCGAGAUCCGCACUUUUCUCAGCGGCCUCUGCUACUUUUCUAGCGUCAUGAAUACCUUUCUCACUUUUUCGUAUAAUUUCUUGGGCCAUCUCCCGGCCACCAUUGUCCCAGAUGUCGGUGAAAAAUUUUCCACCGACCAGGCUCGCUUCGGCCGAGGGGUCUUUUAUAUUUCAGAAGAUAAGGCGGCUUCGGAUUGUGCCAAGAAUUUCACAUGGUCACAGCCUUUCCUCUCCAAAAUAGUGGCAAUCCCCCUAGCACCCGAAAAGGCACAGAUGUCUCCACGGCUAUUCAAAACUUCUUCAAAAGCUUCAGCUUCGUGGCUGAUCCAUCCAAUUGGGCCUUCGGGGUCACCCCUUAUGAAGUUUUCUUCACUUGAGAACGCGCCAACGCUGGCGAAGCUGGUUCUUAUUUUCUUAACACAUUCUAUAGAUUUUUCAUAACACUUUUUCUUGGAUGUACGAAGCUCUUCAAUGUUUUUUUCUAAAUGAUUGGCCCAUUGUUCACUAAUUUCUCGUUUUGUUUCUUCAAGUGUGCACUCUUCUUUAGCUCUGACUAGCUGUUUCCAAAGAUCCUCAAUUUCGCGCUUCUGAGCCUCAGCUUGAGCUUUGAAAGCAUCUUCGUCUUCUUUUAUUUUAUUCACUAACGAGUGUAAUAUUUUAUCUUUUUCGAGACCUUCGUUCCUUAGUUCAAUUACUUCAGAACGAAGGUUGCUCAAGGCUAUGGUACACCCUUCGUCUUCAGCAUCUUUUUGUGCCCUGAGGGCAUUGCUAAGAAUAAGGCCCUGGAAAAAAAAUGUGUGUUAAUAAGUUUAAGCAAAUGAAAAAAAAUUGGUUUCAAGAAAUAAUACAAAGAUCUCAUUUUUUCACCUUUAAACUAUUGUACGCUAAGCUAUCGGCCAGCUCGUUCUUUGACAACCUGAGAGCCCGUCUUCUAGUGUUGGGAAUCCGAAGCUUUUGCUCAUCUCCCGACAGACAAAAAUCUCCUUGCUGUCAGGGAGACAAUACAAGAAGUCUUCUUCUCCGCUGCCGUUGAAUAUCAACGCCCCCUUUGGAUAUUUCAGUUUUUGGGCAUAAAACUGAGCCUCUUGCUUUUCUUUUUCAGUCAACUCUUUCCCCGAAGCAUGUCGUAAAAUAUAAUUGGAAGCUUCAGAAAAUGCUUCAGGGGCGGCAGUGCCAGUUUCUUCAGUUAAAAUUUGUUCUGCUGCUUCUGUUUCUUUGGUUUCCAAGGAUUUCACCUUGGCGGGCUCUGAAGGCCCAGCUUCAGUCUCAACUUGGUGCUUUGAAGCUUCGACACCAAAGGCUUUGAUUUGUACUUCGGAAGUUUCGGCAAUUUUCUUCGGAGUAGUGCUUGAAGACUUUAUUGUCUCCAAUACAUCCAGUACAUUAACCAUCCUUUUCCUCUUGUGGGUCAAUGCUGGACCCUUUUAGCUUUUUGGUACUUCAACUUUUGCUGAAGGACUUAAAAUUUCAGAUGUCCUUGUUUCUUUAGCCUUCGGUUCUUCUAUUUUCUCUAUCAACGGCAUUAUGACCGGCUCUUCAAUAUCGGCAGGGGAGUCGUCUCCUUGGCUUCGGUGGCCGAAGAGGAUUCACCGACAAACUCGGGCACUGUGGCCGGUUCAAUAUAGCGUGGCCGGUGCGUAAGAACCUUUAUCUUUUUCCUCUUCGGCGCUGGCUCACUAAGAGCGGCUGAAGCAACUUCCUCCGCAGAAGCUGUAUCUUUCCUUUUUUGACCCCGCGUUGAGUAACGGUAGUCAGGAUAUACGAACCAAUGGCAUCAAAUACCCGGUUCAGCCUUUUCUUCUUCCAGCCUCCGAAGGCUGCAGAUAGUGCAGUAUCUUCUGCCUUUGAGUAUGGCCCAAGCAGCUCAUCGCUUAUGGCCUCAAUACUUUUCAGCCAGUCAUCAUCUGGCUCGACGAACUUAUCUCCAUAUUUGAAGGUGAAUUUUAACCUAACUAGUCCACCUUCGUUAGGUUCGCUGACGGUUUCCUUUGGCAUUUCCCACUUUUCUGCAAGCGGUCAUACUUUGAAGGCAAUGUGUUCUUGGAUCAAAUCCUUGUCCCGAUGAAAGAGCAAACCACGCCGAAGGCCCUCUGGCAUUCUUCGGCUGCUUCGUCAAUUUCCACCUUCGGUUUCCGAAGGCGAAGCGCUGCCAGAUAGGGCGCAUAAUGAUAUCUUUAAUAUCUUCUCGCGUUUUCAAGUCGUUCUUCACAUAGAACCAUUCCUUCAUCCAGUCCCCAGGCCAUCUCUUCCGAAAAGUUGGCACGGGACAACUUGACCCAGAGCGGGCACCGAAGCUGUAACAGCCAAAAUUGUUGUGAUAUUGCUCCUUACCCAUGGUUUGUCUCAUACAAUAACUCAUGCAUACUACAGAAACCUUUUGCAUUUGGCUCCAAACCUUGGCUUUUCACGGCCCAUACGAAGAUUCCCAUUCUUAUGAUUGCUUCGGGAGUAAUUUGAUGGAGGCAGAUUUCAAAUAUCUUCAAAACUUCUACCACGAAACUGCUCAAAGGAAACCGAAGUCCAGCCUUAAAGAAGCUUCGGAAUAUCACGACUUCAUUUUCCUCGGGAGUCGAACAAGUUUUCUCUCCUUCGUCAGCCCUCACAAUAGAUAAAUCCCGAAAAUAUCUACCCCUCAUAUUGACAAGAUGGCUUUGUUUAAUGCUUGAUUUUCCAAAAACUGCAUGGCUUGGUCGCCAAGGUCGAUCUUCGGAAUCUUCACCACCACUUUCCACAUCAUAGCUGUCACUGUCACCAGUGUCUUCAGAUAAACCCUCUAAAAUCUCCCUAGUAAUCUUCUCUGUAUUUGUCUUUGCUAUUGAUUCAAGGAAGCCGAGAUUCAUCUCUUCGAAAAGGCUUAGCUUUGACUCAGCGACAGCUUUCUUGUCUUCAGACAUCUUCGAAAAUGCUAAGAAAGUGCUCUCAAAGAUGAAGCUUAAAAAUUUAAAAAGCCAGGCAAGCGUUGGUGUGCAAAGAGCUAAAAAUUAGGAAGGCAAGAGCCGACGGCAAGAAAGCGUGCUAAAUGUGCUCGCGGUGCGUUCUUAUUUAUACGCCCAAUACGUCGCAAGUGGCAGGGCCCCACUUGUCAUUGACUAUUGCUAUUCUAGCAAAGGGAAGGUGUUUUUCGGACCUUCGGCUUAAGGCCUUUGUCCAUAUCACAAUCUGAAUUUAUUAUUCCAGCAAAUUAAUAUUGCGAGGGACUACUGUUGGGGGCCUUCGGCUUCCGAAGGUCCUCAAAAACAUGAUUUGACAAUGUUUUCCAAGUGAAAUAUGUGAACAGGUAUCUUCGGAUUCGGAUCAUGAGCAUAAGCCUGAGCGAGACGAAAGAUGAUUAUGACGAAGGACAAGGUGAUCACGAAGUUGUACGCAGGAAAGCUUCGCAUGACAGUAGAAAAGGGGAACCGACUUAAAGAUGAAAAGACAAAUUAGACCUCGAAGAAUUACUAUAAAGUCAUUAGCAAAUAUAAAGGGCAUGAAUGUAAUUUUAUAUGGGCUGCGCCCCUUGCCUAUAAAUAGAUGAACAGUAUUCCCGUACUGUUCACACUGACUUGGCAUUCGCUUUUUGCAUCACGCUUGUACCCUUGCUUUCCUUCAAACCGAAGGUACAUCUAUAAUUUGUUAUUGUAAAUAUGGUAAUGCAAAUAAAAUAAAUUGAUAAUAAUGUUUAAAUGUUUAUGUUAUUUUUCGUAUUUCGUAUAUGAAUUCUUCCUUAUCAUUUAUUGUGCUUAUGAAGGUUUUUCCUUCACAACCUUCAUCCGGAAUUCAUUAUAUCCGAAGGGAAAUAAUGUCUCGAAGGACGAAGGACUUUAACAUUUAACACUUUUUAUGUUGCCUUGUUCUUAACUCUUAGCAUUUGAGAACAAGUCCCCAACAAAUAGCUACAAGAGAAUGGAGAUGAGUAAAUUAGAAGUGGCAUACGUUGGAGGACUGCUCAGUUAGAAGCGUCGUUGUGCUCUUGGAAAGCUUGCCGACGAUGGAUGAUGCUGCCCCUUGCUGACGGGCACGAACACGCCCAGAGCCACGGAUACGCUCGCAGUCGCAGAGACGCACAUGCUUCCACUCCGGUCAGCGGUCUAUCGUCGACGGUCGACCCUUUGCUCCUUCCUCGGUUCCUCCCGUCCUUCGCCAGCCGCCAGCCGCCAGUCGCCACUCCACCAACCACUGGCCCAUACAGAUUAGGGUUGAGGACAGAGGACUACUCACUUGUCUUAUCAAUCGUCACUCAUGGUCGUGGGUUUGUCC
rnacentral:lncRNA from 1 species